ACUAGCGCUGCAGUAGUCUUGUUAAAAAGCCUGUAUUACAUUGAGACGGCCACAUAAAACGAUCUGCAAUGUGCCACACAAACGAAGAACCAGUCCAGUUAAGCCGGACCACAUCAAUUACCAAGAUAAAAUUUCAUUUCAUCGUCGUUUGUCUGGCACCCCUCCUCCGUUGCUGCUGACAACCUUUCCUUCACCGUCCCCUGUAACCAUCCUUGCUCCACUCCUUCAUCCACCACCAAAGCCCCCUCCGUCCCUCCCUUUGAUAUUUUGUUACGCACGAGGUCGCGUCUGGCCAGAGGGGGGAGUACUGUCACAGUUCUGUUCAGUUUGCCUUAGUUUUCAUGGGCACUUAAUUUGUUUUCAUUCAUCACAUGUGUUCCAUGUGUGGAUGUUUACACACUGUUAUGCCUUA